GACUAUUCGGCUGUGAUGAAAGCUCGUCUGUGUUUCCCCCUUCCGUCCCCGUUUUCUUGGCGCCAGAAAUCCAGUGUUGUAUAACGUGUAAAAUGGCCGGGUCGGGAUAUAUGCUUACUUCCCUGGAUUAGCAAGGCAGCUAGAGGAUGACUCUAUAAGGAGAGUGGAGAAACUGGCCAGUUAAUAUGUCUGCCAGAGUGAGUGCGCGGCCUCGCUCUGGUCAGAGAGGUGACCCGGACAUCGGCCACUACUCCGACCACGUGUUCUGCCAAGCGGGAGGAGUAGCCGCCUUGCAUUGCAUGUUUCUCCCCUACUUCACUGUACGUGAUAAAUGAUCGGUCUCCGCGUCACCCGGCCUCCACGGAUGAGCCCGUCAAGUCAGCGAGGCCGGAAUGUGCACAUGAGUACAGCUGCCAAUGAAAGUCAGAAGAAACCAUAGGAUUCCUUGGAGCUGGCGUUACAGUAUAGGGAACGGCUGAAUGUAUAUGAAGGUGGCUGUACCUGCUUCCCCUCUUGAAGCAUAUUUUCUCUGAUCAUCAUGAAACCUGAGCUUCUGACUUAUAGGAAUUACUUGCCAGAACAGCCAACUCCAGGAGAGGACCUUUCAGAUUCCCAGACUCCUUUCUAUUUUAAACCUGCUGCUAAGGACAAAAGAUAUCAACUCAAGGACCUGUGCCACACAGACACAAUAGCGGACAAAGGACUGCUUGGCCCACUCUGCAGAAUGGGAAUGUCUCAAAAGGACACACACGGAGGUGGCUGUGUGCCAACAGUGACAAAAUCAGCUAAAGAGUCACCUCAUCUGCUCUGCCAACAGCACCAGCAUCAUGUAGAAACGUCAACCUCUAGAUUGACCUCUGUUGUCCAAGAUUCUUGGUAAUAGGGGUCCUUUUAUCUGAAUCUUGAUCUACAGGAAGAAAAGCCCCCAGGACACCUCGGGAAGAAUGACCUUCAGAGUUGGCUCUACCUCUUGAGAGGUUCACCACAGGUUUUGCUCCAGAAGUAGCUCAUUUCUUUUUAAAGAAAUGUGUAUCCAUUUAUCACCCGACGAGUAUUUAUAUGAAUUCCACAAACAACCUCUAGUGGCUGCAAGCAUAAAGAGAAACACAAUUUUAAAACAGAAAGACAAAAACAAAAAAUCUAAACAAACUAAAGAACAAAAACAACUACAAAAACCAAAAACGAAACUUGAUGCUAAUGGUGGCUGUAUGUCCAAAGGGCAAAAAGAGGAAGUCUGAAGUUUAAUUACUAAGUAAACACCACAUGUGGGGAGCACAGCGCUCCUCCAGAUUACUUACCACUCUGUAAGCAAACACUAGAGACAAACGGGAAGCUGAAA